UCCUGGUUGCCAUAGUCACCGCCUUCCAGCGUCCCAAAAUGGCGUCGCUGCUGGGAGAGGCAGCGUCCGAGCCUGGCGAGCAGGCCCAGGCCUGCUAGGACCGGGUCCAAGCUAGGACCUCUGCCAGUUCCUCCUCACCUGGGAGGUGGCGAGUAGCGUCUGCCCUGCUCUCCUCGCCCCUUCACCUCGUGGUCGUCGCUUUUUUCUCCGCCCGGGAAGAAAUGCAGCUGGGGCCGCCCCCGGCUCCUGAGGCACCAGCGGCCUUGGUUAGGGCCCGUCCCUGGGGAAGAGCUGGUGAGGAGCGGAGGGGCUCUUAGCAAGGCGCUGCCAAUGGGCGAGGGUCGCCUCUCACCGGGUAGAGCCGCGUGCUGCUGCUUCGACCCGCUGAGGGCUGUGAGCGCCGUGCUGCAGCCUGGGACUGUGUCGCUCACCAAAUAUAUCCUUAAAACAAACCUAAGACAGUUAACGAAAACAGUGCAGAAAGCUUUGUGUCAGUGGGA